rnacentral:misc_RNA from 1 species
GUAAGAACUCUUUAUAUGGAUUCAAUUCACAAACUGAUUAGUUUAUUGUUGAAUCUAACAAUUAGAACCAUCUUUUUCACAAUCUUGAAAGUUCAUACACAUCCAGGUAGAGAGGUGAAUAAAUUCAAUGGGACACGAAGAAUAAUGUCAUUGACCCCGUUGGCAUUUAGGUCAUUUGUUACUUUAUAGUACAUCUUGCUUCAUUGUUAUCAUUCUUCUGUGAAUUCAGAAUUCUUUAACUAGUCCGAUUUGUGCCUUUGACGCUUAAAGAGGCAGUAGAAUAUUGACAGCAACCAUUGCCAAAUGCGGAUUACCAAAUUUGUGUGCUUAGGUUUUGGCUGUGGUGGUGGUCCGAAAAUUCCCUUGUAUAUCUCCUUUUGUUUUUGAUAUACAGCCUUUUCAUGUUGAGCUAUCAAACGCAUCUCCCUCGCAAUUGCCUUGUCUUCAGGUGCAAAUUUACGUGCCUUUUGAAAAUCUUCACGGGCAGCAUCUGUUUGCCCAAGUUCUGCUCUGGCCUUUCCCCUUCUGAACAGUGCUUUUACAUUGUUUUCAUCCUCUCCUAAUACAAUACUGCAUUGCCCAAUGGCUUCUUCAUAGCGUUUAAGCUUUAUCAGACAUGCUGCCAUGUUAAGGUGGCAAGGAUUCUUAACUGCCAAUGCCAUGUCCCGAUAUUUGCCAAACAAUUGGAACAUGAAGUCAUCACCCAAAUAAGCAAUGGCCAUUUCAUAUUGUUGCAUGGCCUCCUCAAGUUUCUCCUCUUUAAAUAAAGCAUUUCCAUCCAUUUUUCUUCGAUCUGCUGCUCCAAUCCUCUCUUCGGCAGUCAUGUCACCACGAGCUUUCCCUUCUUUGGUUUCAUCAAAACCAAUAAGCUCAACUUCAUAUAUUAUAUCUGCCAUUGGUGGAACAUUUGGGAAAGAAAAGCUCCCUUCUUUCCCAUAUCCUAAUUCCCAGCCCACUUGUAGAAGGGCACGUUCACCAGCCUUCAUAUUGGACACACCAAUAGCUAAACCCGCCAUUUCUUUCUUCUCUGUCACAUUCAUAACUCACCAAUGUUUAGUUAUACAUAAAACAACAGGAAAGCAUCUACAAAACAGUAUGAUUACAAAUUUAACAAGGAUAUAACAAGUAUAAUGUAUCUAUAACAAUGUAAAACCAUAUAACCACAUUCUUUCAUUAGAUUCCUGUAAGAUAAUAUUUUUCAGGUAUUGUGAAACCCUUCCGUGCUUGAGUCAAUUAACGCAAUCAAAACCACACAAAUAUAAAGGCAAAUGGUCUAGUUUGUGAGUUUGGACCCCAUUCAUUCAUAUUGAUCACUGACAAAGUAAAUAACACUAAAGAGAGUUACUUGAUGUCAUAGGGCGCAAGAAGAUCAUGGAUGGCAAUUACAGUACAAAAAGAGCAUAAUUAAACCAAAAGCAAAUAAAGAUCAAAAUUUUCAUGCCAGCUUUCUGAAGAAAGAAGAAAUACAAUUUAUUGAAAGACUACAAAUGAAAAUAAGAAUGAAAUAGGUAUAUACCUUUUCCUAUAAUCAUUUCAACUGGUCGCAGUUCAUGCCAUGUAUCAUCAAAUUUGUGCUGGGUGCUUUCAGUCCAUGCUCUGUAGUGCACUAUUGUGCUCAUGCAGUUACAGAUUUUUAGGUUCCAGAAUACAUUGAAGAAUCCACAUUCAUAAAAUAAGUUCCCAGAAACAGAAUGUGCAUGUAUGCAACACAAAAGGCAUGCAUAAUAAUAGCAAGUAGGUGGAUGGGUCACUAUACUAUAGACAGUACACUGUACUUCACAAAAGAAAGUAACACAAAAUUAACAUGUUCUGAAGUUAAUAGAUGAGUAAGAGAAGAAGUCAACCACGAAGAACUGCUAGUACUCUAAUUCAUAUUAUGACCAACUAAUUAAAAUCACACUAGUACCCCCUAGAAAUACAUAACUGCUUUAACAAUCUGGAGUCUGGACCCUUCACCUUGCAGUACUAACAUCCUAUAGUUGACAAGGGCAUGAAUGUUGCACAUACCAAAGUAAGUGUACAUAUUGACAAAGUAGGAGCAUCCUAUAUGCAGAAACAACCAACAACAAGAACUUUUCAUGCCCAUCCAACAUCGACAUCUAAAAAAUCAGAUGGCUAUUUUGCUCAAGGAAUAAAACCCUCUCAAUGAAAUUUCUACAAAAUUUCAACAUUAUGAAAGAUAUGCGAUAGCAACACCUUCAUAAUCAUGCAGGAAAUUAAAAAAGAAAUCUUCAGUAAGCCCUUAGACACAGAAUAAUUUAUCAAGGGAAUCUGGUUAAGAUUCAAAAAAUAAUCUUGAUAACAUGACUUGAAACCAUCAUCAAUACAUGAAAAUGUAGCACCUUAAAAACAUAGCAAAAAAGUUUAUAGAUCAAGUCUUCAAUACAAUGGUAUGAUUCUAUGCCUUUACUACCCAUUAGCUGUGGAUACAAGAAUUCCUAGUUUGUCAGUCAUGCAGACAAGUUGUCACCAACAAGUAAAUAGCAAUAUCUUAAUGCUUCAAAGCAUCAAUAAAUGCUGUUUGGUACUCACAGAAGCAUGUUGAAUAUUUGGUUGGCUUCUGGCCAUGUCCUUCCUUAAUGAUUUGUUUAGUGACUUUCUCAUGUAGGAUUUCAACCUCAGAAUCAACUGUUGGGGGACCAUCACCAACUUGAGGAGGAUCACUAUGCACAAAAGCAGCGUUUUCAGUAACUAUUUCAUUUUCAUCUUCUUGGCCUGCUAAGAGUACAGGAUAUGAACAACUAUUGAGUAUCAUGGUGUUUCAACUAAAGAGGGACCAACGCAAAUGUUGCUUCUACCCCCAUAAAAUGAUUACAGGGAAAAACCAAAGAAAAAAAAAAUUAAGAGGGUUAUGUAUCUCAUUUCAAUUUCAUUUAGAGGUAAGUCAUUCACCUUAUUUUUAGGGAAGUAGCCAACUUUUGUGGAGAGAACAUUAACAUAAAAUUCACCAUCCAAUUCAGUUCAGAUAGCAAAAGGAAAUAAUUCAGCAAACACAAGCUAUUGUCUGCUUGUGAAUCUUAGCCCUUGGAUCACUAGAUGAAGAUUCAUGCAUAUGAAAGUACAUAAGAAAAGAAACAUUAUACAACAGUAAAUUGGCUUUAGAAUUGACCAUGAGGACAAUAUUUGCAAGAGAAUUCAACAUGAAAGUUACGUCAAAACUUCUCCAAGUUUUAUAUACACAUUCCUAAAAAGAAGGUCUAAUUAGGUUUAGGAAGCCAAUCGUCACUUCUACUGCUACAUUUUGCUAUGCCUUAAAUCAUUAACACCUAUCAAAAUUUCUGCAUACUGAUAAAAAUACAGCUCCCUAAAACAUUCCAAUUUGUCCCCCAGUCAAACUGCCUCAUCAAAUUGAUAAAUCACAUUAAACGCAAUACACAAAAAGCUGUGAAUCCUUAUUCAUGCUGAUGAUUGCUAAACAAAUUCAAUUACUGCUUGCACACAUAUGCAUAUAGUUUAUUAAGAAGUUCAUAAUAAAAACAAAAUAUAUUACCGAUCGGUUCACUUUGCUGCUCUUGAACAACCUCCAUUACUCAGAAAAACCUUCCACUAGAAUUUUAAACUGACACCACGAGAGAAAACGGUGAUUUCACUACUUAGAAGAGUUGACUCUCACUCCUUGACACCUCAACGAAGCCAAAAAAGCAUAGAAAAAUGAAAGCACGAAAUUUUCUUCAUCAAAAAUUUUCUCGGUAAACAAACAGAAAGAGAAAAGAGGCAUCAUUGAGUUACUUACUUAGGAUCUGGAGAGCUUCUUGGAGAGACAGGCUAGCGGUAGAGAGAGAGACAGCAAACGAAUGUGUUUGUUUUGUAACGAUCGAAGAAGAUUCUGGAGAGAGA